CCCUCCCGAGGUGUCUCCACCUUGACGUGGUGGGAGGGCUUGAGGGCCCCUGGGACCCCAGGAGCUAUGCCGGUGGGUGCAACCGUGCCGGACGGGUCUUGGGCGAGGAGCCGGACUAAGAGAGAC
rnacentral:ribozyme from 1 species